rnacentral:RNase_P_RNA from 1 species
GGAGUCGGCCGGGCAGUCGCGUCGCGCCAUGUGCGCGUCGAGGAAAGUCCGGGCUCCACAGGGCAGAGUGCCAGGUAACGCCUGGGCAGCGUGAGCUGACGGCCAGUGCAACAGAAAGCAAACCGCCGAUGGCCCGCAAGGGCACAGGUAAGGGUGAAAUGGUGCGGUAAGAGCGCACCGCACGCGGGGACAACGUCGCGUGGCACGGUAAACCCCACUCGGAGCAAGACCAAAUAGGGGAACGAUAACGCGGCCCGCGUUGUUCCCGGGUAGGUUGCUGGAGCCAGGCGGUGACGCCUGGCCGAGAGGAAUGACUGUCGCGCCGCAAGGCGUACAGAACCCGGCUUAUAGGCCGACUCCACCU